rnacentral:rRNA from 1 species
CAAUAGCGUAUAUUAAAGUUGUUGCAGUUAAAAAGCUCGUAGUUGGAUUUCUGACAGGAGCGACCGGUCCGAUCAUUUGGUCGUGUACUUUGUGUUGUCUCUAGUCAUCCUUAUGGAGAACGCUUGUGGCAUUAAGUUGUCGCGAGUGGGAACCAUAUCGUUUACUGUGAAAAAAUUAGAGUGUUUAAAGCAGGCAAUUGCUGUGAAUACGUUAGCAUGGAAUAAUAAGAUAGGACUUUGGUACUAUUUUGUUGGUUUACAUACCAAGGUAAUGAUUAAGAGGGACAGUUGGGGGUAUUCGUAUUUAAUUGACAGAGGUGAAAUUCUUGGAUUUAUGAAAGACGAACUACUGCGAAAGCAUUUACCAAGGAUGUUUUCAUUAA